rnacentral:rRNA from 1 species
UACGGAGGGUGCAAGCGUUGUUCGGAAUUACUGGGCGUAAAGGGCUCGUAGGCGGCCAACUAAGUCAGACGUGAAAUCCCCAGGCUCAACCUGGGAACUGCGUCUGAUACUGGAUGGCUUGAAUCCGGGAGAGGGAUGCAGAAUUCCAGGUGUAGCGGUGAAAUGCGUAGAUAUCGGAAGGAACAUCAGUGGCGAAAGCGGCUUCCUGGACCAGUACCGACGUUCAGGCACGAAAGCGUGGGGAGCAAACAGG